ensembl:misc_RNA Metazoa_SRP Metazoan signal recognition particle RNA
GCCAGGCAUGGUGGUGCAUGCCUGUAAUCCCAGCUACUCAGGAGGCUGAGGCAGGAGAAUUGCUUGAACCCGGGAGGCAGAGGUGGCAGUGAGCUGAGAUCGUGCCACUGCACUCCAGCCUGGGCAACAGAGCAAGACUCUGUCUCAA